rnacentral:tRNA from 1 species
GCGUCCGUAGCUCAGCUGGAUAGAGUACCUGGCUACGAACCAGGCGGCCAGAGGUUCGAAUCCUCUCGGACGCGCCA